UACGGAGGGGACUAGCGUUGUUCGGAAUUACUGGGCGUAAAGCGCACGUAGGCGGAUUUGUAAGUCAGGGGUGAAAUCCCGGGGCUCAACCUCGGAACUGCCUUUGAUACUGCAAAUCUCGAGUCCGGAAGAGGUGAGUGGAAUUCCUAGUGUAGAGGUGAAAUUCGUAGAUAUCAGGAAGAACACCCGUGGCGAAAGCGGCUCUCUGGAACGGUACUGACGCUGAGACGCGAAAGCGUGGGGAGCGAACAGG
rnacentral:rRNA from 1 species